AUUGAACGCUGGCGGCAUGCCUUACGCAUGCAAGUCGAACGGUAACAGGUUAAGCUGACGAGUGGCGAACGGGUGAGUAAUAUAUCGGAACGCGCCCAGUCGUGGGGGAUAACUGCUCGAAAGAGCAGCUAAUACCGCAUACGACCUGAGGGUGAAAGCGGGGGAUCGCAAGACCUCGCGCGAUUGGAGCGGCCGAUAUC
rnacentral:rRNA from 1 species